AGCUUCUUUAGUAGACUUACUAUACAUGACCUCCACUCAUGAGCUCUUGGACACCAAACCAGGAAGAAGUA
rnacentral:tRNA from 1 species